UACGGGGGGUGCGAGCGUUGUCCGGAAUCACUGGGCGUAAAGGGCGCGUAGGUGGUCUGAUAAGGGUGUGGUGAAAGCCCGGGGCUCAACCCCGGGUCGGCCGUGCCGACUGUUAGACUAGAGUACUGUAGGGGCAGGCGGAAUUCCGGGUGUAGCGGUGGAAUGCGUAGAGAUCCGGAGGAAGACCGGUGGCGAAGGCGGCCUGCUGGGCAGUUACUGACACUGAGGCGCGACAGCGUGGGGAGCAAACAGGAUUAGAUACCCUGGUAGUCCACGCCGUAAACGAUGGGUACUAGGUGCCUGGGGGAGCGACCCCUUGGGUGCCGGCGCUAACGCAGGAAGUACCCCGCCUGGGGAGUACGGCCGCAAGGCUGAA
rnacentral:rRNA from 1 species